rnacentral:lncRNA from 1 species
CGGGGCUGGGCGCUGGGUCCCCGGCGCGCGUCGAGGCUGCACCUGGAGCGCGCCGGGCCGCGCCGCCGGCGCGUCCUCUUCGUCCUCGUCCUCGUCCUCCGCGUCCGCGUCCCCUGGGGCGCCGGCCUCGCCGUCCUCGUCGCCCCCAGCGCUCGCGCCCUCGCCGUCCUCGUCCUCGUCCUCCUCCCAGGUCGAGUCGCAGUCCGGGUCGUCCAUGCUCGGGCGGCGGCGGGACCCGCGCUCCGGCGGAAGCGAAAGUGAGCGAAGGAGGAAGCGUGGGGGAGGGCCGGGGGCGGGGCCGGGGCGGGAUCGGGGCGGGGCCGGGGGCGGGGCCGCCGGCGCCGUCCGCCCCGAGAAGGCCCCCCACGCUCCGAGCACAGCCCCUCCCGGAGAACGUCACUCCGGAGGGCGCCCGCCCCCUUCCUCGCUGGGAUUGCCCCCAGGGUGUCCCCCCAGGACCCCCCCUACACGAUAUCCCUUCCCUUUGGGAGAAGACACCUCCCCCAGGAUGCCCUCUGGAGUAUACCGGCUCUACAGGUAUGUCCCUGGGGGAUGCUCGUCCCAGAGAAUCACCCCAGAAUGCCCCUGAGGACAACCUCCCCCCAGAGGAAGACGCCUACCUGCUGGAAACCCCCUCCUCCAGAAUAUCCCUCUUCCCAGAGGAUGUUCUCCUGGAGGAAGUCAACCCACCCCCUGGAGGAUGCCCACAGGAGGAUGUCCGUCCACAGGGCUGACCCCAGGAGCAUAACCCCUGGGAGCUGUCCUCCCCAGAAGGGAGGCCUCCCCCCCAGGAUGCUCCCACGCGGGAUGCCCUCCAGGUGUAGGCUGGGGCUGUGGUCUCACGAGAGGCUCCUUUGGAGAGCAGUCUGCUUCCGCGGUCCCCCAGCCUGUGGGCAGAAGUCAUUCUCGGGUGGUGGGACACGGAUCCUCGUGUCCCUUCACAGACGGUUCACAACUGGGCAGUUUGCUUCCAUAAGGCCAGCAGGAGGGUGUCUUUCAGUGUGCCGGGAGUCGUCUGCACCGUCACCGUGGGCCUGGCCUCUGCCCCUUUGCCACAUCCUAUCAGGGGUAAGUGACCUCCCACAGAUUCCCUUAAUCUGUGCCCUCACAUCUGCUGGUGGCCGCGGGAGUUGCAGCAAAGUUGGAGACCCGCCCCUCAACAUGCAACUUGGGAGUGGCCCGCCCAGUCUCACCUGGCUGGAGCCUGUGUACACACGACCUCACUCUCUAAGAGGACGGAGGUGCCCCCCCCCCCCGGAACGGACAUCUGGGCAUUUCUGUAAAAGGUGGCCCCGCGAGGCCCCGGCCAGGACAUCGGGCAGAUGACACCGGGAGGCCCUGCCGCAGGGCCGGGACGACGGACCCUCCCAGACGCUGCCCGAUUUCCGCUCGACAAGGAAGAGUCACCCCGAACCGCACCUCCGGCUGCUUUUGUGCAGUUUGCCUGGGGCUCCGCAGGGCGCGUUAACCCGGGAGCCCAGAUUUCUGCUGCAGAAGAAGUCUUGUGCUGUUUCCUCCCCUCUGCAGCCUGGGGACGCCCGCUGUGGGCUCAGGGCUCUGGACAGCUGGCCGCCCAGGCUGGGGCGGGGCUGAGCGGGGGGGGCAGGACUGGG